rnacentral:lncRNA from 1 species
GACAGAAUGCCAGGCCUGGCCGUAGACACUGAUUAGCCGUGUGACCUUUGGGGAUUCGGGGCAAGCCAUUUUCCGGUCUUGGGCCUCAGUUUCCCCCUCUGUCAAAUGAGAAGCUUGGACUCGAUGGCCUCUGAGAUCUUUGCUGGCUCUUGAAUGGAUGCUCGUGUCUUCGCCUUUCUCUGGGCAUCGGUUUCCUCACUCGUGUAGGAUGGAUGAGAGGUUUGGACUUCACGGCCUUGAAUGUCCCUGCCAUUUUGAACUCGGAGAACUCGUCCCUUUAAACAAUAAGGGCAGUUAAACAAAACAUAUCCGAGGAGAGUAGACCUCGAGUCACAAGAGCCCUUGGUGGCAAGGAAGUCCAGGCUCCUUGUCUUACAGAGGAGGAAGCCGAGGCCCACAGAGGGGACUUGCCCAAAGCCACACACAUAGAAGUCCUGCCUCAAGAGCUGAAAUAGGCCUCCGACGCCAUCAUUUUGGGGAAUUGGAACUCAGCGUUAGAGUUCCUCAGCAGCCCAUUUGCCAGAUGAGAAACUGAGUUUAGGAUAUGACUGUCUAGUACUUGGCCACCACGUAAUCUUCAUAUCUAGACCAGCAUCGGUCUAUCUUCCAUAUGAGAAACUGAGUUUAGGACAUGGCUGUCUAGUACUCGGCCCCCAUGUAAUCAAUCUAGACUACCAUCAGCCCAUUUUGCACUUGAGAAAAACUGAGGUGAGUAUCUUCUAUAUAGUGCAAAAUAGAGCCACGAUCAUUGAAACAACUUUGGGGAUGUUUCCAUUGUAUUUCCCAUGUGGCCUGAACAUUGCUGUCUAGAACUCAGCCCCCAUGUAAUCUUUCUGAGCUAGACCACCAUCAGCCCA